rnacentral:lncRNA from 1 species
CUCACCUUCAAGUUAUUUCCCUCCUCUAGAAUGCUGUACUUCCACCACCGCCAAAUCGUGAACUUUCUCUCCUUCAAUAUCCCACUGAGAACUCACCCCCAGGAUGGGACUCUGCUCACCCUGUCCUCUACUCAAGCAGAAGCCUCUCAGCGAUCAUAGGGCAAGGCCUGAACACAAGCUUCUGUUGGUGUAAAGUGGAGGCACAGGCUGCAGGACUGUCUCAGAAGGGAAAUAAUAUUUACCUUCCAAGCUGAGAUCUAAAACCCCAACAAAGCCUCAGGAAACAUACUCCACCACCAUCUUACAAGUUUGUGCUACGGGUGGAGGGAAAAUGAAUCUAAUGUAGGAGGCCUCCCGCUGUGGGUCUAGCAGGAAAGACUACACGGUGCAAGUCUCCAGGAUCACUAGAGGGGUGGAUUGUUCAUUUCAGUCCAGGUAGCAACAGGAAGCCCGUGCAAAUGUUCCUCUCUCACUGCGGGGAUAAAGAGUGUGGGUCUGUUGCCGCGACUACCUGCUUGCCUCUUUCAGAACCUGCAUGUGAAGUGCGGAAGAUCUGUCUAUCUUCUCGGCGGCGCGGAGCCCAAGGUAGAAACCGAUGGAGGCGGUGCACUAGAUAACAUCAAAGCCCCGGGCAGGGGCCAGAAAGGGGGGCACAGGCAGCCCGGGGAAUGAAGCGCCUCCCUCUAGCAUUUCCUCUCACGCCCACUUCCAACCUAGGAGGCUUUUGGUUUCUGCUUUUGUUGUUUUUAAAAUUAAAAGUUAAACCCAGGAAGCUUUGGAUCAGA